UACGGGGGGGGCAAGCGUUGUUCGGAAUUACUGGGCGUAAAGGGCUCGUAGGCGGCCAACUAAGUCAGACGUGAAAUCCCUCGGCUUAACCGGGGAACUGCGUCUGAUACUGGAUGGCUUGAGUUUGGGAGAGGGAUGCGGAAUUCCAGGUGUAGCGGUGAAAUGUGUAGAGAUCGGGAGGAACACCGGUGGCGAAGGCGGUCUUCUGGACGGUGACUGACGCUGAGGCGCGAAAGCGUGGGGAGCGAUCCGG
rnacentral:rRNA from 1 species